GAGGAAUAUUGGUCAAUGGGCGCGAGCCUGAACCAGCCAAGUCGCGUGAGGGAAGACGGUCCUAUGGAUUGUAAACCUCUUUUGUCGGGGAGCAAAAGNCGCCACGUGUGGCGUUCCGAGAGUACCCGAAGAAAAAGCAUCGGCUAACUCC
rnacentral:rRNA from 1 species